rnacentral:rRNA from 1 species
UCCUACGGGGCGCAGCAGUGGGGGAUAUUGCACAAUGGGGGAAACCCUGAUGUAGCGACGCCGCGUGGGUGAAGAAGCGCCUCGGCGCGUAAAGCUCUAUCAGCAGGAAAGAAAAUGACGGUACCUGACUAAGAAGCCCCGGCUAACUACGUGCCAGCAGCCGCGGUAAUACGUAGGGGGCAAGCGUUAUCCGGAUUUACUGGGUGUAAAGGGAGCGUAGACGGCAGCGCAAGUCUGGAGUGAAAUGCCGGGGCCCAACCCCGGAACUGCUCUGGAAACUGUGAAGCUGGAGUGCAGGAGAGGUA